CCCCGGCCCCCGGCUCGCGGACUUCUGGCUCCCCGGUAAUAUCUUUCGUGAAGCCAAGUCGAGCCUUAAUUCUGAGAAUGCUUUGAGGAUGACACGCGUUGGCCGGCGUCGGAUGUCUCACCUGAGCUUCGUGGGUCCUCUGUGCUUUUCCUGAGCGGGCCUCGGACCUGUCACGGAUUCUCCGCAUGUCACCGAGGAGCCUUGUGUCACUUGGGCCGCUCGCUUGCCAGCGUGCAACAAUCGGCGGGCCGAUGCGGAUGGUGGCAGCUGCGGGGAUGGAGAGCCGGAUCCGAGGAUCGGACGGAGGUGGGCCGCGCGGGGGGAGGCCGAGGCCGAUGCUGAUGCUGCUGAUGUGGAUUAUCCUCUCCAGCCCGCUGUGCCUGACGGUCGAGGGCCAGAUGAAGCUCUCGCCAGAAACGGUGCAGAAGUGGGCCGUGUCCUUUGGCAAAGAGAUAUCUGCCCUGUCCAGCAGAUACUCUGGAGCUAAACUGCUGCAGAAGAAAUACAAGGAUAUCGAGGCGGCGGUGAAGAUAGAGGAGGUGGGAGGAGAGGAGCUUGCAAAAAAGUUUGCCGAGGAGAUGGAGGAGAUGCUCGGGAGGAAGAUGGAAUCUGUGAAGAGGUUGGCGGAAGCAGCAGAGGACGCUGACCUUUACCACGAGUACAACGAAACGCUAAGGUUCGAAUACUUUAACUCCAUGCUGAUCAACACUGUGGAUGGCAAUGGGAACCCGUUGGCACUGGGGGGGGACUUUGCUCUGGAGAAGAAUGAACACUUCAAUAAACUGCCGGUCAACACACAACUGAGUAACAUACAAGUCCCAACUAACGUUUACAACAGAGAUCCAGAUAUUCUGAAUGGCGUCUACAUGUCCGAGGCUCUGAACGACGUGUUCAUCGAUAACUUCCAGAAAGAUCCCACCCUGACUUGGCAGUACUUUGGCAGUGCUGCAGGCUUCUUCCGGUUGUACCCAGGGAUCCAGUGGAUUCCAGAUGAAAAUGGCGUGGUCACCUUCGACUGCAGGAAUAGAAACUGGUACAUCCAGGCCGCCACCUCCCCUAAGGACGUGGUCAUCGUGGUGGACGUCAGUGGCAGCAUGAAGGGGCUCAGAUUGACCAUAGCCAAACACACGAUCAAUACGAUCCUGGACACGCUGGGGGAAAAUGACUUUGUUAACAUCGUAGCGUACAGCGAUUACGUCCGCUACGUGGAGCCCUGCUUCAAGGGCACGCUGGUACAAGCUGAUCUGGAUAACAGAGAGCACUUCAAGCUACUGGUCGACGGGCUUCAUGUCAAAGGCGAGGGCAAAGUAAAAAACGCAAUGAAGGAGUCUUUCAAGAUCCUCAAUGAGGCUGCAGCGCUAGGCCAGGGCAGCCUGUGUAACCAGGCAAUCAUGCUGAUAACAGACGGAGCCAUGGAGGACUUCCAGAGUGUUUUUGAAGAGUUCAACUGGCCGGAACGACGGGUUCGAGUUUUCACCUAUCUGAUUGGACGGGAGAUGACGUUUGCUGAAAAUGUGAAAUGGAUCGCCUGCAACAACAAGGGUUACUACACGCACGUCUCCACGCUGGCUGACGUCCAGGAGAACGUCAUGGAGUACCUGCACGUUCUCAGCCGACCAAUGGUCAUCAACCACGAUCACGACAUCAUCUGGACUGAGGCCUACAUGGACAGCGUGCUGUUCAACAGUCAGGCCCAAAGCCUGCUCCUUAUGACCUCGGUGGCCAUGCCUGUGUUCAGCAAGAAGAAAGAGACUUUGUCACACGGGAUUCUGCUGGGGGUGGUGGGGACGGAUGUGGCCUUGAAGGAACUGAUGAGAUUGGCCCCGAGAUACAAGCUGGGCGUCCACGGUUACGCUUUCCUCAUCACCAACAACGGCUACAUCUUGUCUCACCCCGACCUGCGCCCUCUGUACAAAGAGGGGAAGAGGCUAAAGCCAAAACCCAACUACAACAGCGUCGAUCUGAUGGAGGUGGAAUGGGAAGACACCGAGGAGAAACUGAGGACCGCCAUGGUCAGAGGACAAACGGGGACCAUGGCGUUGGACGUGAGAGCAUCCGUAGAUAAAGGAAGGAGAGUGAUGUUCCUGAAGAACGAUUACUUCUACACCGUCAUCAACGAGACGCCGUUUAGUCUGGGUAUAGUGCUGACUCGAGGAUAUGGACAGUAUAUCUUCAUCGGAAACGUCUCUGUUGAGGAGGGUCUUCACGACUUACUGGCUCCAGACCUGACCAUAGCCAGUGAAUGGACCUACUGUGAGACGGAUACUGACCCGGCCCAUCGUAAGCUGAGCCAGUUGCAGGCUGUGGUGCAAUACCUCACUGGCAAAGAACCAAAUAUGGAGUGUGAUCUGCAGUUGUUGCAACAAACUCUAUUUGAUGCCAUGGUCACGGCUCCCAUGGAAGCCUACUGGACCGCGCUCAUGCUCAACACCUCUGGCGUGGUCGAGGGGGUAGAAACUGCAUUCUUGGGGACCCGUUCGGGCCUGAUGAGGUUCCAGAGAUACGCUGGUGUUGAGAAAAGAAUUGGCAAAUCUUUCCUGACCUCCACAGACAUGGAGAAUAUGUUCACGUUGGACCAUUUCCCAGUGUGGUACCGCCGAGCGUCCGAGUACCCUGCCGGACAGUUUCUUUACUACAUGCCAAGACAGGAGACGAGAGACAUAUUCAGGGACUAUGAGGCCGACUAUAGCGCCACCUUGAGCGAAGAGGAGGUCGAGCUUGAAGCGGAGGAGGGGAGGAUAGUCAUCGCCACCACGGCUGUCACUGUGACGGUGGGGAAGAGAACUGCCAUCGCAGGAGCCAUCGGUGUCCAGAUGACUCUAGAUAUGAUUGAGUCUAAAUUCUGGGCUAUUGCAUCACAGCCAAAUGACACAGAUUGCUCUGACACGGACGGGGUUUGUCCUCUCCGGUGCGACAGCUUUGAUAUCGCAUGCUACGUGAUUGAUAAUAAUGGCUUUGUCAUCAUUUCCAAAGAGCGUACUGAUGCGGGCCGAUUUUUUGGUGAGGUUGACGGAUCAGUGAUGACGACGCUUAUCAGAAUGGGCAUGUUCAAAAGGGUGUCCUUGUUCGACUACCAGGCCAUGUGUAAGAUGAACCUGCACUCUGUCAGCAGCGCACGGCCACUUCUCAGUCCGUUCUAUGGUUUGGCCUCAGCCCUCAAGUGGUUCCUCUCCAACUUCCUACUGUUUCUCCUGGAGUUCAAUUUCUGCGGCUUCUGGCACACGGACCAUUUUGCUGAUGCAUCCGCCCAUAAGAAAAGAGGGGACAUGCUGCAGCCAUGUGACACGGAGUACCCCAGCUUCGUCUACGAGCCGUCAGUCAAAGAGACCAACAGCAUCAUUAAGUGUGGACGCUGCCAGAAGAUGUUUGUGGUGCAACAGAUCCCAGAGAGCAACCUGCUGAUGCUGGUGGUGCAGGCUGACUGCGACUGCUCCAGACAGUACUCGCCCAUCACCAUGGAGCCCGAGGAAGUCAAAUAUAUCCUUUGAUGUUUUGCUGUUCAUUAAGUCGGUUAUUACUUUGAAAUAGUUAAAGUAAUAUGCUCUGGUGACACGGACCAACAGGAAAUUGCUAAUGUUGUACAGCGAGUCCAGGAUCUUAACCAGCUUCCAACUCUAAAAUUGAAUUUUUUGACUUUCCCUUUGACCACUCUGAUUGUGAUUGUUGGUAUUUGAAUCCCAGGGACACCUGUUCAUGUUGUUGCUCUUUGACGCUGCAGCACAUAAUGCCUCAGUGAAGUGUGACAGGAUGAGGUCCCAGAAGAUUCGCCGGCGCCCCGAGUCCUGCCACGCCUACCACGCCCAGGAGAACGCCAAUGACUGUGGAGGAGCUUCUGUUAUAUCUCUCUCUGCCUCUCUCUUCCUCACCUGCCUCUUCUUCUCCAAACUGGUCUCCUGAUGAUGGACAACUUCGCUUUUAAUGAGGGCACUGGAAUGAUUCAAGAGACGUGUUUGGACACUGGACACCUCAAGUGGAUUUCUUGUUUGUUUUUUUAAACUAGUGUUUCACUAGUGCUCCAAGGAUGGACCCGUGAUGUCAUUUCUGAGCAGCUGUUAGUUAACUCAUCAUGUUUGAACUGACAUGUUAACAGGCUGUUGUUGCUAUGGACACUUUUUUUCAAUUAGUUACUUUCUCAUACACCACUGCAUCUCAAAGGGAAAAGGGACUAAGGAGAUGCUGGUGGUGGGGAGGUGGCUAUGACGUGCAUUAAUACCUGGGAUUAUGAGUCACAAGAUGCAACGAUGCAUGAAAAAGUCCAUAGGGAGGGUUGUCGGCGGGG